rnacentral:rRNA from 1 species
GCUACCAUGCAAGUCGAGGGACGGUAGCAAUACUGGACCGGCAAACGGGUGCGGAACACGUACGCAAUCUACCCCUAAGAGGUGAAUAGCCACGGAAACGUGGAUUAAUACACCGUAAACUAUAAUUUUGGCAUCAAGGAUAUAGAAUAGCUGAGGCGCUUAGGGAUGAGCGUGCGUCUGAUUAGGUAGUUAGUGAGGUAACGGCUCACCAAGCCGACGAUCAGUAACUGGUGUGAGAGCACGACCAGUCACACGGGCACUGAGACACGGGCCCGACUCCUACGGGAGGCAGCAGUGAGGAAUAUUGGUCAAUGGACGGAAGUCUGAACCAGCCAUGCCGCGUGAAGGAAGAAGGCGUUCUGCGUUGUAAACUUCUUUUAUAAGGGAAGAAACCUACGAUUUUUAUUGUAGCCGACGGUACCUUAUGAAUAAGCACCGGCUAACUCCGUGCCAGCAGCCGCGGUAAUACGGAGGGUGCAAGCGUUAUCCGGAUUUACUGGGUUUAAAGGGUGUGUAGGCGGGCUUUUAAGUCAGUGGUGAAAUCUCCGAGCUCAACUCGGAAACUGCCAUUGAUACUAUUAGUCUUGAAUAUUGUUGAGGUAGGCGGAAUAUGUCAUGUAGCGGUGAAAUGCUUAGAUAUGACAUAGAACACCGAUUGCGAAGGCAGCUUACUAAACAAUGAUUGACGCUGAGGCACGAAAGCGUGGGGAUCAAACAGGAUUAGAUACCCUGGUAGUCCACGCCCUAAACGAUGAUUACUGGACAUUUGCGAUAUACAGUGAGUGUCUGAGCGAAAGCAUUAAGUAAUCCACCUGGGAAGUACGUCCGCAAGGAUGAAACUCAAAGGAAUUGACGGGGUCCGCACAAGCGGUGGAAGUAUGUGGUUUAAUUCGAUGAUACGCGAGGAACCUUACCUGGGCUAGAAUGUGAGUGACGGAUUCUGAAAAGGAGUCUUUCUAGCAAUAGACAC